rnacentral:rRNA from 1 species
UCCGCACAAGCGGUGGAGCAUGUGGUUUAAUUUGAAGCAACGAGAAGAACCUUACCAGGUCUUGACAUCCUCUGACAAUCCUAGAGAUAGGACGUCCCCUUCGGGGGCAGAGUGACAGGUGGUGCAUGGUUGUCGUCAGCUCGUGUCGUGAGAUGUUGGGUUAAGUCCCGCAACGAGCGCAACCCUUGAUCUUAGUUGCCAGCAUUCAGUUGGGCACUCUAAGGUGACUGCCGGUGACAAACCGGAGGAAGGUGGGGAUGACGUCAAAUCAUCAUGCCCCUUAUGACCUGGGCUACACACGUGCUACAAUGGGCAGAACAAAGGGCAGCGAAACCGCGAGGUUAAGCCAAUCCCACAAAUCUGUUCUCAGUUCGGAUCGCAGUCUGCAACUCGACUGCGUGAAGCUGGAAUCGCUAGUAAUCGCGGAUCAGCAUGCCGCGGUGAAUACGUUCCCGGGCCUUGUACACACCGCCCGUCACACCACGAGAGUUUGUAACACCCGAAGUCGGUGAGGUAACCUUUAUGGAGCCAGCCGCCGAAGGUGACAGA